AUUGAACGCUGGCGGAAUGCUUACACAUGCAAGUCGAACGAUGAAGUCUAGCUUGCUAGACGGAUUAGUGGCGAACGGGUGAGUAAUAUAUCGGAACGUAUCCAAUAAUGGGGGAUAACUAGUCGAAAGAUUGGCUAAUACCGCAUACGUCCUACGGGAGAAAGCUGGGGAUCGUAAGACCUGGCGUUAAUGGAGCGGCCGAUAUCUGAUUAGCUAGUUGGUGAGGUAAAGGCUCACCAAGGCGACGAUCAGUAGCUGGUCUGAGAGGACGACCAGCCACGCUGGAACUGAGACACGGUCCAGACUCCUACGGGAGGCAGCAGUGGGGAAUUUUGGACAAUGGGCGAAAGCCUGAUCCAGCCAUUCCGCGUGAGUGAAGAAGGCCUUCGGGUUGUAAAGCUCUUUCGCAAGGGAAGAACACUUACUUAAUAACACUAAGUGAGGUUGACGGUACCUUGAUAAGAAGCACCGGCUAACUACGUGCCAGCCGCCGCCGUAACAC
rnacentral:rRNA from 1 species